AAACCGGUGCUAAUACCGAAUAUUGAAACAUAAGUGGCAUCACUGAGUUUUGAAAGAAUUUCGGUGGAGGAUGACUUCGCGGCCUAUCAGCUAGUUGGUGAGGUAAUGGCUCACCAAGGCAACGACGGGUAGCCGGCCUGAGAGGGCGACCGGCCACACUGGGACUGAGACACGGCCCAGACUCCUACGGGAGGCAGCAGUGGGGAAUAUUGGGCAAUGGAGGAAACUCUGACCCAGCGACGCCGCGUGCGGGAUGAAGGCCUUCGGGUUGUAAACCGCUUUCAGUAGGGAAGAAGCGAAAGUGACGGUACCUACAAAAGAAGCACCGGCUAACUAUGUGCCAGCAGCCGCGGUAAUACAUAGGGUGCAAGCGUUGUCCGGAAUUAUUGGGCGUAAAGAGCUCGUAGGUCGUUUGUUACGUCGGAUGUGAAAACCUGAGGCUCAACCUCAGGCCUGCAUUCGAUACGGGCAAACUAGAGUUUGGUAGGGGAGACUGGAAUUCCUGGUGUAGCGGUGGAAUGCGCAGAUAUCAGGAGGAACACCAAUGGCGAAGGCAGGUCUCUGGGCCAAUACUGACACUGAGGAGCGAAAGUCUGGGGAGCGAACAGGAUUAGAUACCCUGGUAGUCCAGACCGUAAACGGUGGGCACUAGUUGUGGGAACCUUCCACGGUUUCUGCGACGCAGCU
rnacentral:rRNA from 1 species